UUGAACGCUGGCGGCAGGCCUAACACAUGCAAGUCGCGCGGAUGAAGGGAGCUUGCUCCUGGAUUCAGCGGCGGACGGGUGAGUAAUGCCUAGGAAUCUGCCUGGUAGUGGGGGAUAACGUCCGGAAACGGGCGCUAAUACCGCAUACGUCCUGAGGGAGAAAGUGGGGGAUCUUCGGACCCCACGCUAUCAGAUGAGCCUAGGUCGGAUUAGCUAGUUGGUGGGGUAAAGGCCUACCAAGGCGACGAUCCGUAACUGGUCUGAGAGGAUGAUCAGUCACACUGGAACUGAGACACGGUCCAGACUCCUACGGGAGGCAGCAGUGGGGAAUAUUGGACAAUGGGCGAAAGCCUGAUCCCGCCAUGCCGCGUGUGUGAAGAAGGUCUUCGGAUUGUAAAGCACUUUAAGUUGGGAGGAAGGGCAGUAAGUUAAUACCUUGCUGUUUUGACGUUACCAACAGAAUAAGCACCGGCUAACUUCGUG
rnacentral:rRNA from 1 species